rnacentral:lncRNA from 1 species
UUUUAUUUUUUACAGUGUGGAGUGUCCAAAAACAUUUUGUUCAUGUUUCUACAUUUCUCUUUCUUUUGAAUCAAUAGGUUUUUGUUUGAUAAAAUUUGCUUAAAAAAGUGAAGAAAAAAAAACAUGACUCAGAGUGCAUCAUUCUGAUCAUUUUUGGCCAGUUAGAUCUCAUUUCCUACUCUUGAGAUGCUUGAUAAAUACAGGCUAAGAACCAGAGGCAAUAUUUGGGCCUGAAUUAUUAUAUUCUAAACUCCAAUAGGCUGUUAUUUGAAAUCCAUGUAUACAUGCAGCUUUCAUCUCUUGCGACAGGCUCAGUCAGAGGUGAUGUCAUCAUGGCGCGACCCACGAGGAUGAGGGCACUCCAAUCCGGGCCUGCGCUGUCCUUGGUGGUGCAGGGGGACUGGAUGUGUUGCUGGAGGUGUGAGGCAUCCAUAUGUUGCUCUUUAUUAAUGCUGGAGGAGAGCUGGAGAAGACAGAUUCUGAACAAGUCAGAUUUGUGCAGUCUCCUCAGACACAGCUUCCUCUCAGGCUGUGUAUGAAUCCACCUUUUUAAAUCUCUUCAAAUAAACAGAGGUGCCAGACAAUGCCCAUCAACCAGUCACCAUUUUACCAACUUCCACUGCUCAGGUAAAUACACUGUUGCAAGAUUGGUGUUGUGCUUUAUUAUGACUUCCAUACCUCUACAAACUGAACACUUCUGUUUAAUACAUACAGUGCUGCUGUAGUCAGUAAAUGUGUUGCAGCUACAUCCACAACACAUUGUGAAACACCAGAGGGAUCUUCCCUACAAAUACACAUCACUAAUUAUAACAUACAAUAUGAUAUUGUACUAUAUUUACUGUAUGUGUUAUAUGUGUACUUAUACUACAGUAAAGUCCUAUUUUACACUAUAUUAUACUCCAUUGUACUAUAAAACACAGUGUUUAGAUCAUACUACUAUCCUACAAUAUGCAAUACUAUGAGGGCACCCUUUCCUAUCAUUAAGAAACCCCUGGUGGGGUUUAGGGAAUAUAUAUCCCUAUAUCUCAGCUUUUGGUUCACUUUUUUUUCAGAAACAGAAGCCUAUUAUGUAUGUCGGAUUGUUUAAAACUUAUACCAAAUAAAUAAUACAUAAAAGUUCCCUAAACUAGAAACAGAAAUAAUUUGAUCAAAAUUUGUUCAAAUCACUGGGUUUACAAAACUUCUUGAAGUUACUGAGUUCACUGUUUGGGUUCAUUUUUGGGUACAGUUUUGAAUAUAAUAUGAAAUAUUCAUAAAAUAUGUCACUGAGUCAGCUGACUAAAUGAUAGAAAAUUGGCCCCUUAAGGAAAAAGGUUGGGAACCACUGAGCUAAGGGACUAUUUUAUAGAUAUUUCAUAUUAUAUUCAACUGAUAAAUUGUCCAAUGACAAACCCAAUAACUGCAGGAAGUUUGUGUAAAACGAGGAGUUUUCCUGAUAUUUUUAGAAACUUUUAUACAAUUCUGUGUCUGUAUAUUGUGUGUAUCUUUUUUGUUAAUAACCAUACAGACUUAAUAUGCUUCUUUUUUGACAAACUGAGUGUUUUCCUCUCAUUGUUCUUUUAACUCUAUGGUUAUUUGAACUUUUCUAAUGCACUAGAGUCUGUUUAUCAGAGUGUAGAUCUUAAAAAAUAAUCUCAACUUUAAAAAUAACAAUUACAUAUAUUUUUAUUGACAUAAAUGAAUUCAACCUGACGUAUUCCUACUGUGUGCAUAGGCGCUGAAAGUAGGGGUGCUGAGUAGACUGCAGCACCCCCUAAAAUCUGGCACAAUGAAACCAUUCGUUCAUUCCUGCCUUCGCCGCUCGAGCAAUCUUACACUUAUUAUAUAGAUUUCUUUCUCUGGCAGGCCUUUGUUUAGGUGGCUAAAAUGCUUGUUGGUGCUGCCCCCACCCAGGACCUUAAAGCAUUAGUUAUUAGUUAGCAUUUGUUAUUACAAUAUGCCUCAGUUAUUACAUUUUAUAUAGUAAAACAGUUGCCACCAAGCUCAUAAUGUAACAACUUUAUUACAAAAAACUUAAUAUCAUUGUUAUAUUAGGCGAAAGUUAUGAAGUCAGUAGAAGUAUUAAAAGUUUUUAUUACAUAGGCAUAUGUUGAGUGUUCCUCACCACCCUGUUUCUACUAAAAUUAGUUGAAUAGUUUCCUCUGACAGUAUCACUAAUUUAAUGUGAUGUGUGGGAACAUCAAAUCUGGGUGAAAACCAGUUUAAACCAAUCCAAUCCUUUAAAAAAAAAAAAGCAGGUACUUUAGUGAAAAGUUGAUUUUUUUUCUCUAUGAAAAUGGAAACCAGAGGCAUCAGCAAAUGAAAUAGGGACAGUGACAGUAAAUUUCUUUUUAGUUGUACCAAAACAGAUGCUGCAAUCUGGCUGUAAUGUUUUGAACAGCUGAACAGGUGACGUCUCACCUCUCACUGACAGAGAGAAAGAGAAAGAGAGAGGCAGAGGGAGAGCCAGGAUUGAAGAGCAAUCACAGAAGAGAAAUGUCAUAUUUGCAUAUCUCAAAAAUACAUCACAGGACAGCCAUAAAGGGGCCUGUGAACGCAGUUUUGCAUAUUGAGAGACAUUUCUGCUGCUUCUCAGAGAGCGCUGUUUAUGUGCAAUUUUAAGAGGAAGAUAAAGGUUGUAUUGGAAGGGAGGGAAACAUAUCACUCACCCACUGGUGGAAACUAAAAGCUGGAAUCUGAGAGAAGAUCUAUUUUUUUCAUAAAACACACUAUAUGACACCGACACCACCCCCUCCCACCUCCACACACACAGACACUCACACAGGAAAUUACAUUGAAUUACAUUAAUUUCCUGGAGACGUACCAUAACCCUAGCCCUGACCACUACUUUCCUAACCCUACCCUUAAACACUAGUUCCCUAACUCUACCCCUAACCACGUCUUCCCUAACCCUAACCUUGUCCCUCCUAACCCUACCCAUAAACCUGACCAUUGACCAACACAGCCUUGGAGAAGCCAUCCCCUCUUACUGGUCUUUAGUCUGAAAUGUGUCCCUGAAGGCAUCCUAAUACACACAUAAAACACACACACACACUUAUGUUACUAUUGGGUACAUUACAUAGACAUACAUUCAUUUCUUGGAGACUUGCCCUAACCCUAACCACUGACUAACAAAUGUGCUUUUUCCCCACCUUUUUUGCAUGUGUCCACUUUAUACCAAUCCUUAAGUGUCAAUAGAUAUGUAUAGAAGUUGUAUGUUUCACUCGUAAAAUGUUGGGGCUGAGACUCAAACUCUGGUCCCCCAUGUGUAAGAGUACAGCUAUACGUUACAGCCACUAAGCUGGAUGUACAACCCAACCCAACCUAGACUCUAUCAGGUGGUUUUGUUUUAUUCCUGAACCUAACCUGUGCAAUUAUCAGCUGGUCCAAUAGUAUCGGCGAACUUUAACUUUGGAGUUGGUUUGGAGACAAAACACUUUACAUAGAUUCCCUGGGUGUGAAAAAACAUGAAUUUGUAUAAAUUUUUUACUCAUAUACUUUUACUUUUAUAUGACCUGCCACUGCAGUAAUGAUAGCAAACACAUAAACUGAUCGCUGGAUUUAUGUAUACUCAACCUCUUCUACCAGUACAACUUCAAUCUUCACUCCCUGGAUCCCAUGCACCAAAAUUUGUCCCCAAUUGGGCAAGUCGUCCCCAGUUAACUAUUUA